AGAGAGAGGAAGCAGUUGGAAUGCACACACUCAGAGGUAACUAAUAGCAAAAAAUGAGUAGUCUCCUUCCGUUCACACCCACUUGACUGGUGUUGAUUCAAGAUUCAGCUGGAUGCUGGGUGGCAGAAGGAAGGGAAGGUAUUAGCUGUUGCCUGAGGACCAAGAGGGACCAUCUAAUGGCUCCAUGUGAAAUGAGAAGGCUUUCAGGUAUAAAGUCACAGAGCAAGAUGCCAAACAUCCCACCAUUUACCUAUCAUUUCAGGACCAUAUGUGCAAAAUUGCAGCAGUAACGUCUCAACUUUUAUUGGCCUCCUGCUCCCCAGGGCACCCUGCUUCUGCUAACUCGAUGCCUCAGAACUUUGGUGUCUGAGGCCCUCAGAUACCACUUUGCCGUCUACAAGCCUGAGGGUGGUGGUCUUCUGGAUGGUUUGCAUGGAGUUGCUGCUGUCCACGGCGUCACCAGGACUGAAGUCCUCCCCAUCUUCCAGCAGGCGGCGGUGUUCCCGGAUUUUACACUCCAGUUUCCUAUUAUCGGCCUCCAGGCUCUUCACCCUCUCCAGCACUCUUCACUCUCGAGCCUGACAUGGCAAAAUUCUGACUCUGUCUCCAUCAUGGAGAACAUGACACAGCAGUGCAAGUUGGCGGCUCUGCAAAUUCAUGAUUUCUCAUCUCCGCGGGAUCCUCAGUGCAGCUUGACAACCUUUCUCUUUGCUCCUGAAUAACUCUUUUGAUUCAUUCAUGCAAUAUCAUUGGAUUUGUGCAUUAGAAAGAUCACUCUGGAACCUGAUAGCCUGAAGGUGGGCAUACGGAAAUCAGUGACACCUAUUGCAAUUUGGAGCUCUAUAAAUGGGUCCUACCCCUACUUAAAGCCUGUUGGGCCUCCUUAUAGCCUAUAGAAUAAAGUCUAACCUGUUUAUGAGUUUGGCAUACAGAGCCUGGCGCCUCCCUCACUAAUGACCUUAGCUCCCUGCCCUCCUACCUUCCUACUUUCUGACCUAUGAACUCUCAGCUCGUUUCCUUAACUCGCCCAUGCUGUUCAUGCUUCUGGGCCUUUGCUUACACUGUUGUUCCUGCCUGAGUGCUCUUCUCACUUUCUUUCAUGAGUAAGUUCUUGUUCAUACUUAAAGACUCAGCCCAAGUGUCAUUUCCUUCACGUAGCCCAACCCCUUUUCGUGAUGAGGUGUCCCUCCACCAGGCUCCACCAGGCUCCCAAGGCACCCUGGGUAUGUCUCUCUCAUAGCACUUACUGUAUCUUAUUGAUAUUAUCUGUCUAUUUCCCCCACCAGUUGGUCUGUUCUGGGAAGACAAGGGCUGUGUCUUGUUCAUCUGUUCAUCUCUGGCCCUGGCACAUAGAGGGGGAUUGAUCUGAUCUGAACUGACCUAUGAUCCACUAAGCUUUUCUAGCCAUAUCUCUCUGGAAGAGACAAUCCCCCACCAUUUCUCUUUCAUACCCCUAAGAGUUGCAGCCCUCACUCCAAGCGGGGAAAGUACAUUUCACUCCCACUGGUGUUGCACAGUGUUUCCUGCACAGGCCACAGAGCAGAUGUCCUGCAGAGGUAGCAGGCGAACCACUCCUUCGCUUCUUGGUCCACACUCCUCAUUACAGCUCCUCAUGUACAAUCUGAGAGGUAGACAUCACCCAGCACUGAGAUUCACACCUCUCCUCCUCCUCCAGUGUCGCUGACCCCUUCAAAUACGAGGGACUCUUCUAUUAGGAUAAAUGAUUUGCCAGGAUGCUACUUGUUCCUGAUGUAAAACUGGCUCCUGGCCAACAGUUGCCCAAACAUGCUCGCUGGGUCCGAACCCGCAAGUGGGUGUGGCUCUGCUUUGCUAAGCAAGGGUCACUGUUGCACGGGAAGUUGCUUGGAACAUGAUUUUUGAAAUUCAGGAGUGGUCUGCUUCCUUUGGGGAUCCUUGGUUGAUGAGUACUAUGCCCCACCAAGUGGUCCAGAGAGAGUCUCUGACCUGAUGGAAUUGUUCUUGAACCUGGGCCACCAGGUCAUGUGAGAAGAGAGGGAGAGAGAAGGCCUGGACCUCUGUGGACCCUUGAGCCACAGGAUGGCUAGUGAUUGUUUUGUGCCCAGAGAGAAGGGAGGCCAUUCCUGACACAGGAGUUUGCAUGAUUUAGCAUUAAGCAUCCCUCAUAUAGUUCUGCUGAAGAGUCUAGAAAAAAAGAAAUGAAUUUCCAAGAACAGUUCAAUGUUCUCAUUAAGAGGGUGAAACAGGACAGCACUGCAAGGCCCAAGCCUGGCAGGCUUGGGCUUAGCACCUGAGCUGCUCCAGAGCAGAGGGAAAGUGAGGAGCAGCACAGACAGUGGAAUGGCUGGGAGGAGAGAGCAGGGCGUUUGGAGGCUGGAUACUGGGAGCCAGACCCAGCCUUGAUGCUAAUUACUUGGGAGGCCCAGGCAGGUCAGUUAAUAUGGCCUUGCCUCACUUUCCUCACUGUAUGGUGGGAACACAUAUGUGGCCGUGCUCCCUACCUGAGACACCUGCUUAAGUUUACUCGAUCACCGUGUGUUAGGUCGGAGUCCGUCAAUACUGGGUGCUUAUAUCCAUCUAUGAUGGUUAAUUUUAUGUGUCAACUUGACUAGGCUAUGAUGCUGACUUGUUUGGUCAAACCCUAAUCUAGGUGUUGC
ensembl:lncRNA